GGCCUACGCGAUGUGCCACCCUGACGACCUCCAAGCGCCGCGGGGCUUCGCCAGGAAGAGCAAUAGAAGAACACUCCAACAACAACAGCCAAAUACCAUUACUGGGACUAACAACAGUGUCAGAUCUGGGAGUGGUAAUAUUGUAUCUGGGAACAGCAAUACUGUCGUAUCUGGGGACAACAACAAUGUUUCUGGGAGCAACAACACAGUCACAUCUGGGAGCAACAAUGUCAUAGUUGACAGCAACCAUGUCGUAACUGGGAACAACAAUACUGUAUCUGGCAGGAACAAUAUGGUAACUGGGAACAAUAAUGUUGUAUCAGGGAGCAACCAUGUCGUGUCCGGGGACAACAAAGUCGUAACUGGCGGUUAAUGACCUGUCAGUGGAUUGAUUUCGGCUUCCCUGGUGCAGCUCAUACAUCCUUGUCCAAGUUCAGUGUGGCUCACAAUUACUUGGUGGGCCCAUUCGUGCUUGGAACUUCAUGGAUAUAGCAUCCUACCUACUUAGAAUAAAAUUUCCCUAAAUAUCUAUAGAAUUUUUUACAUAAUAAAUGCUGACCUGCACAGCAAUGGCGACUUGCAGCUUAUGUACAAGUUUUCAUCGUGGAUGUCUAGAUGUGGGUAUUUCAUCUCUUCUGUUAUCUGUAAUGUGUGAUGAUUUCCUAUAUAUGAAGAUUGGUCUAUGAAUUAUAAGUGCUCAAUGUCAU
rnacentral:rRNA from 1 species